AGUUAAUGAUCUUGUUAAGUUUAUAUUUUGAAAAUAUAAAAAAGAAAUUAAAAUUUUCUAUUAACUU
rnacentral:tRNA from 1 species